UUAGGUGAACUCUUAAAACCAGGCUCCAGUAAUAUCUUACUUUUGCUUAAAAAAAAAAAAAGUGAGCUGUAGGUAUAUAUUUUUAUCUUUAAGAGGAAAAAAAUAGUUAUUUUGGGACAAAAUUGCUCAUUCCUUGUAACUUUGCUGUAAACUUUCAGGUUUGAUCUCCCUUACCCAUUGAAUUUUCAAAGAUUUUGAUCGGAACUAUUAAAGGCUAAAAGAAGAGAAACUUUAAAUAGGUCCAUACUUUCACAAAUGUCUUUUAGUAAAUUGGUUGCUUUUUAUUACUGAAAGAUAUAUUUCAUACCUAUGUUUUCCACUCAUCAUAAAAAAAUUUUAAUCUUGAAUUUGACAUUUCUUACCCACCUAGAUCGAGUCACAAAGAAUGCAUUAUAGAUAGUAAAAUCGAAAUCACAGAAGACUUACCUUUCAGUAGCCGUUGCUAUGAAACCAUGUUUUGAUGGGAAAUUUUAGAGAAGCUUGUGCUUCCUGUUGUUAAAUGAUAGAAUAUGGAGAUCCCCUUAAUUUUUAAAAUUGCCCUUUUUAAAAAGCAAGUAACCUCAAUUAUUCCUUCUAGUGGGACACUCUUUGCUCUUACCCUACCUUACCCACCCAGGACUGCUAAUUAGGUUUAAUUUUAUCUUUGCUUCCUCUCCUAUUCCUUGUGCAUUGAAUGGGCAGAUGGGCAGAGUUUAUGAGAGAUGUUUUAUGUGCAAUUACAAGGUUGUGUUGCUAUUAUUUAUUUUACCUAGGACACUAGGAUGCUCAAGAUACAGAAAGAAUCAAAAAUAUGGUAACUUACGAGCAAGAGAGCUUCCAUAAAAUGGGAAGUUAGAAAAGUGCCUCUUUGUUGUUGUGAAUCUAGAAAAAGACCACAAUGACCUCUGGUUCCUGAAAAAGAGAAAAAUUUUGUUUAAUUUUGUUUCCUCCAGGCAGUGUGAUCUGGUGGAGAGAGCUUGGGAUUCCAAGUCAGAAAACAAGUCAAAAGGCAAGAGGUGGAGGGAGAGUAAUCUGCUGGUCUGACUAAAGCAGAGGACUGUGAAGCAGAGAGCGUGGAAAGGCGGGAGGAGAUUAGGGAAGGGAGUGAGCUGAAUGCAAAACUGGGCACCUUGGACUUGAUUUGCCAGGCAGUGGAAAAGCAGAACAUAUUCCUAACAAAGGAAGCGGCACUGGGAUAGUUGAGAAAGUUACUCUGGGAGUCGUGUAUAGUUACUCAGGGGUUGGCACCAGAUUCCUCAGAUGGCACCGCGUAUGAUCCAUUUGUCAUCUAUUGACACAUAGCCCCCAAUCCAGAUUUACAUCAAAGCAGGCUUCCCAGGGGAGACGAUGUAUAUACGCUGACACCUUCUGCGUUUGAUAUCCAAGUUGGUGCAGAACGUGGAAUGGGCCGCCCAAUAAAAUUUGUAAAACUCAUACAAUCUUGGCGACAUAAUCACUCAUUGAGCAUUACAGAAAACAAUUCAAAUAUCUUUGGAAUGGUGGUAGAUGGACAUGCUUUUAGUAAAACUUCGAUAUGGUGUAGGGUCGGAAUGGAGACCCCCUGGCUGAGGGCUGCUCUCUUCGUACUGCGUUGGUGGGAUGUGUGUGUAGGGCUAGCCUGGAACCGUCCUGAGAACAGGCACCUCGUCAGAUUCAUCUCUGCACAUCUGACACGCAGGAGAGUGCCUCACCUUCGUGGGAAACCAGCCCACAGAUUCUGCGAUCUCAGCAGAUGGCAGUAAUGUGGUUUCUUUUGCGGUACGCGGGCCUCUCACUGUUGUGGCCUCUCCCGUUGCGGAGCACAGGCUCCGGACGCACAGGCUCAGCGGCCGUGGCUCACGGGCCCAGCCGCUCUGCGGCAUGUGGGAUCCUCCCGGACCGGGGCACGAACCUGUGUCCCCUGCAUCGGCAGGUGGACUCUCAACCACUGCGCCACCAGGGAAGCCCUUUUUUUUUUUUUUUUAAAUUUU